GAUGAACGCUGGCGGCGUGCCUAACACAUGCAAGUCGAACGGAAAGGCCCUGCUUUUGCGGGGUGCUCGAGUGGCGAACGGGUGAGUAACACGUGAGUAACCCGCCCUUGACGGUGGGAUAACUUCAGGAAACCGGGGCUAAUACAGGAUAGGAGCUCCUGCAGCAUGGGGGGGGUUGGAAAGUUUCGGCGGUGGGGGAUGGACUCGCGGCUUAACAGCUGGUUGGUGGGGUAGUGGCUUACGACGGCUUCGGCGGGUAGCCGGCCUGGGAGGGGGGCCAGCCACCAUGGUACUACGUGAGGGCGCAGUGGCGAACGGGGGGCAGCGGGCGAAAGUCUUGCCCAGCGGGGGGGAGCGUGUUGCGACGGCCCCCCGAUCGUAAAGACGGCCUUCGGGUGAUGAACCGCUUUCGCCUGAGACGAAGCUUGAGUGACGGUACUGAGUAAAGAAGCACCGGCUAACUACGUG
rnacentral:rRNA from 1 species